rnacentral:tRNA from 1 species
CAGGUAGCUCAGUCGGUAGAGCAGAGGACUGAAAAUCC